AGCAUACAUCUUAGCAUUGUCAGCUGGUAACAGAAAUGCCCAGAGUUUAACCUAAUGGCUGAUUACCUGUUUUUUAGGGGAUUGAAUCAGGAUAGUCUCUGAAAACAUGUAGAUCUUCUCUGUAAGAUAGGAGAGUCCCCAAAUGUCCCAAAAAUAAAACAUACAGAUCUUCUCUGUAAGAUAGGAGAGUCCCCGAAUGUCCCAAAAAUAAAUGCAUCGCUGUAGAGCUGCCGGGUCUCACACAGCGACAGUAAAUGCAAAUGACUUCGGUCUUGUGGAAAGAGCCAUCUGGCAGAGCUUUAAAGGUAAGUCCAUAUCUUUAUCCAACUCUACUUAGUGAGCUGAGUUCUGUUUCUGCUGGCCAUCUGCAGCUGCUGAGUCACUUUCCUAAUAUUUAUUGGUAAAUUGGAGAUAAACAACCAAUAUUUGAAAAUUAGAAGAAUUAGCAAACUGCCAAUGAGCUAGCGGUAGCAGCCUUCUGAUUCAGCAAUUUAUAACUGAUGUUAAUGAUUCAUAGUGAAUCGAAAAAAAAUGGCGUUUCAACUGGAUUACUACUUUCUAACUGUUACUUUAACUGUUUCUGUUCAACUCUGUGACUUUCAAUUUAACACAAGUAAUGCACUUCAAAAUAAAAACAUAUAUAACUUGACAAUAGAGGAAGUAAAGCCUCCAAAACACAAGUCAGCAAAAAGAUCAGAAUGAAAGCAUAGCAAACAGUCGCUCAAUGAAGCGAUGUCUUCUCCAAAGAAGUUUAUCCAAAGUCAGCCACUGUGGUUGUGUUGGUCACUCUAGCAGGAAGAGCACACCCAAGCUGAUCCCACAAGUGUUCACUGAGGUUGAGGUCAGGACUGCUGGUAGGCCAGUCCAUCCUCUUCACUCCCAAAUUCUGGAGGUAGUCUCUGAUAAUCUCCGCUCUGUGGGGGAGAGUGUUGUCAUUUUAGAAGAUAGAGUUCAAUCCCAGAAUGUGGAGACAUGGGAUUACGACUGGUUUUAGGAUCUCAUCUCAAUAAACAUAGUUUUUGAUAGAUCGAUAGAUAUACUUUAUUGAUCCCAAACUUGGAAAUUCUCAAACAUUUACGCCCAACAUGGGGCUCGAACCCACGACCCUGAGAUUAAGAGUCUCAUGCUCUACCGACUGAGCUAGCCGGGCUUUACCAGUGAAGGAUAUGACACCCACACCAUCACACAGACUCCACCUGAAGAUGUUACUCUAUCAAUUCAGCAAUCAGCAUAGCAUUCUAUGGGUCUCCUCCACACUUUGACCCAAAGGCAGAAUCUGGACUCAAAGCUGAAUACGACAUUCCUCCACAUGAUCAGGUUCCUCUGCACGUGUUGCUGACAUCAGUGCAAACGGGCCUGACAGUGAAGAGCAGUCAUGGUAGGCCUAAUGGCAGCACUAUGAGACUGGAGACUGGUUGUAUGUAGUCUGUUCUGGAUUGUCUGAGCAGAAAGUCGUCAGCCAUGUUGUCCUGCAAACCUUGACAGGCUUCACGGUGCUGACAGGGUAUGGAAACAAUCUUCUUGGGGUGUCAUCUUCUUGGCACGUCUCUGCCCCCGUUAUCUGGAACUUAGCUCUCAGUUUGGAAAUGGCUCUAGAGUUCACUCCAAUAUCGCCACAACUUCGCUUCACAUGGGGCCUUUCCAGAUUAGUCAAACCUGGCAUGUCAAAGCUUACUGACCACUGUAGUAGGGCCUAUGCUAACAGGUGUGAUUAAUAGACAUAUACACUUAUAAAUGUGUGUCUGUGUGUGCAUCUCAGCUCUGUACCAUAAGUCUGUGCUCUGAUAUAUUAAUGGAGCUGACACACCAGCACUGGUCAAGCUCAACAGAGAUCCACAGGGAGGAACAGGAAGUCAGACAUGAAGCAGCAAACAGCAUGUGGUCAGCAGGCGAUAUGUCAGAUGGUAUGAAUAAAAAAUGGUAUCUGAUGAUCGAUAUUUUGUUUUAAACUUGGAAAUACUCUCAUAUCCAGAUUCAUGUCCAUUACUGCAGGACGGUCACAACAAAACAAAAAGAAAAAUACCAAGCAAAUCUUUAUCUAGAAAGAAAAAAGAAACUAUGUCGUGUCCUCAUUGAUGG
rnacentral:lncRNA from 1 species